rnacentral:rRNA from 1 species
UACGUAGGGUCCAAGCGUUAUCCGGAAUUACUGGGCGUAAAGCGUACGUAGGCUGCGCGUUAAGUGCAAUGUGAAAUCUUGUGGCUCAACCAUAUAGACUAUGUUGCAUACUGGCGUGCUAGAGGACGGCAGAGGCAAGUGGAAUUUCUAGUGUAGCAGUGAUAUGCGUAGAUAUUAGAAGGAACACCAAUGGCGAAGGCAGCUUGCUGGGCCGCCCCUGACGCUGAGGUACGAAAGCGUGGGUAGCGAACAGG